UACGUAGGGGGCUAGCGUUGUCCGGAAUCAUUGGGCGUAAAGAGCGUGUAGGCGGUCCGGUAAGUCCGCUGUGAAAGUCGGGGGCUCAACCCUCGAAUGCCGGUGGAUACUGUCGGGCUAGAGUGCGGAAGAGGCGAGUGGAAUUCCUGGUGUAGCGGUGAAAUGCGCAGAUAUCUGGAGGAAUACCGGUGGCGAAGGCGGCAUCCUGGACCCAAUACUGAACGCUGAGGGAGCGAAAAGCCCGGGGGGGAGCAAAACCGG
rnacentral:rRNA from 1 species